rnacentral:rRNA from 3 species
GUCUGGGAAACUGCCUGAUGGAGGGGGAUAACUACUGGAAACGGUGGCUAAUACCGCAUAACGUCGCAAGACCAAAGAGGGGGACCUUCGGGCCUCUUGCCAUCAGAUGUGCCCAGAUGGGAUUAGCUUGUUGGUGAGGUAACGGCUCACCAAGGCGACGAUCCCUAGCUGGUCUGAGAGGAUGACCAGCCACACUGGAACUGAGACACGGUCCAGACUCCUACGGGAGGCAGCAGUGGGGAAUAUUGCACAAUGGGCGCAAGCCUGAUGCAGCCAUGCCGCGUGUAUGAAGAAGGCCUUCGGGUUGUAAAGUACUUUCAGCGGGGAGG